GCUCGAGGAAAGCGGUUUGGUGUUAAGCGUCCCAAGCGAACUAAAUGUUCCAAGUGGCCCACUGACGCUGCCAUUCCCACCGCUGAUACCAACGGAUAACUGACUCUCGCCUGCGAAACCGGACACCAUACUUGUUGUCCUGUAGAAUGCAAACAUAAUUUGAGUAUUAGAGAAGUAUAAUGGUUGAUCGUAGGCGUGUAUAUUUACUGUAUCAUUUUGCUCUUUUAUAUGUUGCAAUUGCAGAUUUGCAUGUCCAGGAAUAUUUUGCGAUAUUAAUAUUAUAAUAUUAAUAGCAAAACAAAUUUCGAUCGUCGGAUGUUACACACGUGACUUGAAUUUUCGUCGGCAAAGCAGCGUAACACAGAGGAUAGCCUGGAAACUGUUUUUGCAGCUUCAACCAGUUUCGAAUUUAAUCAUUCUACGAUUUAGUUAUUAUUUCAAAUUUUGGCAAAUAUUUAUUUUCUUUUUUAAUAUUUUAGUGUUGAUCGAGUACUAUGUUUGAUUUGGUGUUCCGUGAAGGGUAACGAUCUAUAGGUCGAGGCGAGCUUUACCUAUCGGAGAUGUCGCGCUCGAGGUCGAUCAUGUCUUCAGGUAUCUCACGUCCGCUUUAAGCAGAAUACGAUGCGUAAUGACACUAAGAAAGGUGUAACGGGGAAACACGAGUUCGGUGAAAACAAACAAAUAGGACAAGGCAAAGGUAAAAAGAAGGAAGCGAUGUGGAUUUGAGGAGAACGUGGAGACGUUAACAGAAGGAACACAAAGAAGAAGAAGAAGGAGAAGAAGAAAGAUGAAAGGGGAAGAGAGAAAAGACGAGAAAGUAUGUGCAGGGCGAGAGGGAGGUCGAGGGUAUGCUUCGUUGAGCGUGGAAUCAAUAGGAGGUCACUGGCAUCAGUAGAUACAAUCGGCACAUUUUAAGUCCGUCUCGCUAUUGUACAGCUUACCUCUGAUAGAACUCAAUUUAAUGGAUUUCGAAUGUAAGGUAGUUGCACCGUGAAUUUAUUUAUGUUCGAGGCUACUUUUUCUAGUUUAAAAGGUGCGUUUAUUCUUAAUUGUUUAGUAUGUGAAAAACUGUGAGUUGGAAUUAUUUUGUGACCUGGAACGAUCCCCUAAAUAGGCGGCCCUGCAGCAUUUAUCAUUCAAAGUUAGUUUACAGUGAAAACGAGGUAACGCAACCCUAGAUUCGAUCAACUGCUUUAUAUGGUCGAUCAUUUUAACACAGCGACAAGAGUUUGUACUCGUAGGCCUGGUGUUGCAUUGUCCAACCAUGAUAUAACCAUAUAACAUGACAAAUUCCCCCACUUCUGGCCAGCAGCGUAAGCUUGCGCUGUAGGUUGCCAUAGAUACAUGUUUCUCUCAGGGUGUUCAACUUUUGAUACGAGAAGAAUAAAGUGUCAAUAUCUGGUAGAAAAUAACGAUAAUUACUGAAUCAGCGAUCGCUUCGUAAACAAUUACUUAAGUUUGAUGUUCUGUGUCGAGCGAGGGUCGACAAAAAUUGAAAUCAGAAAUUAGACAUAAUCUAGGUCGAGUCCAAGCCUAAAACAGACAGACGAGUUCGAGUUUAAACAUGAAUUUAUUUGAUCGAACUAUGAAUUACAUACCAUAACUCGAAAAUUGGAUACAAAGUAAUAGAAACGAAUUUAGUAAACGUAUUAUACUAUUACAAUUAAAUUAAGAUUACGAUUUAAAAAAGAAGCUAUCUACUCUUUGUCCUUUCAGUUGAUUUGAAUUUUGAGUUAAUCCCCUUUCCGAUUGUUGGUAUAAGUUGCGUUCGAGAGCGCAGUGCUACAAAUAUAAUUAUUUUCGUAAGGGCUAAUCAAACACAGUGUAUCCCCACUACUACCCCCAAGUUUACUUGUUGCUUAGCGACCAUCCCCUCCACUCAUAGACGUCGUGCAAUGAACGAGGUUCGCAUGCAGUAAUCGAGGUUCUUCUUUAUCUACAGGGAUUACUUUUCCGUGCAUUGGUAUUUUUUGAGCAAGUUCAUUAAAAAAAUAUCGACCUGCCACCUCCUCCACCAUUCGAGUCAUUUUCGAUAACCGUUCAAUUAAACUGUCGCAAGUUGAAUUCGGUUUCGAACCACUUUUGACAACCUUAGUCAACCGUACCCUUUGUUUUUGGAAUCGACCUUCCUUAUUUCGGUCCUACUUUCGCGGUGCAAAAGCCCAUUAACAGGCUCGAAAACGGUCGAUACAUUAUAGAAAUCGACCCUUUUCGACCCUCUUAAUUGGCUUCUGCGCCGCUUUGAAGUUCGCUCAGCCGGCUUUUAUUUUCACUGUUGUGUUUUCACAAAGAAACAUGUAGCAUCGAGGAUUUACUCAAUAGUUUUCAUGACCGGUUGACCGAAUUACUUCAAAUCUGGAGAAUGUGAAUAGGUAUGGAGGUUCCCUUCGCACAG